GGGUCCGGACACACUGAGGAUUGACAGGCAAUAUUAAUACGUGUUUCGGCGCGUAUUAUGUUAAAUAUGCUAGUCCUUUCAUGAUUAUGUGAUAGGUGGUGCAUGGCCGUUCUUAGUUCGUGGAGUGAUCUGUCUGCUUAAUUGCGGUUCACUAAGAAUCUAUCAAUACGUGCGUUGCGGCACUUUGACCCCUCUCUGAGCGCGCGUCUUAGUUGCUUAGCUCGCACAAUUAGGUCCUGAAAGCAACGAACGUGACCGCAACCUCUUGUUGCCUUUAUACCAAACAUUUUUGCUGUUCUCAGCAUUAAUGCAAAAAGGCUUUUUAAACUAGAGGGACCGCUGUUACUUUCUUAAACCAGAGGAAGGUUGCGGCAAUAACAGGUCUGUGAUGCCCUUAGAUGUUCCGGGCUGCACACGUGCUACAAUGAUUGUUGCAGUGAGCAUCUCAUUUUUACACACCGCAUGCGCGAGUCCGUUUAUUCACUUCGGUGCUUUAAACGUGUAUUUCUGCGCGCGGUAAAGCCUGCUUCGAGAGUAAGUGGGU
rnacentral:rRNA from 1 species